rnacentral:ncRNA from 1 species
AGAAAGAAAAAUCGAUUCCCUGAGUAGCGGCGAGCGAAACGGGAAGAGCCCAAACCAACAAGCUUGCUUGUUGGGGUUGUAGGACACUCUAUACGGAGUUACAAAGGCACAUAUUAGACGAAUAACCUGGAAAGGUUAAUCAUAGAAGGUAAUAAUCCUGUAGUCGAAAAUGUGUGCUCUCUUGAGUGGAUCCUGAGUACGACGGAGCACGUGAAAUUCCGUCGGAAUCUGGGAGGACCAUCUCCUAAGGCUAAAUACUCUCUAGUGACCGAUAGUGAACCAGUACCGUGAGGGAAAGGUGAAAAGUACCCCGGAAGGGGAGUGAAAGAGAACUUGAAACCGUGUGCUUACAAGUAGUCAGAGCCCGUUAAUGGGUGAUGGCGUACCUUUUGUAGAAUGAACCGGCGAGUUACGAUCUGAUGCAAGGUUAAGCAGAAAAUGUGGAGCCGUAGCGAAAGCGAGUCUGAAUAGGGCGAAUGAGUAUUUGGUCGUAGACC